rnacentral:lncRNA from 1 species
UAAAAAUGAAAAGUAAAAAUAGAGAAUAGAAGGAGUAAUUUCCCCCCACAAAAGGUCCCUCAAUCUCUUGUCUACUUGUCUCUCUGUGUCAAUGAACAGCAAAGAAAGCGAAGUUUUAGAACUGUGCGGUGUUUUUUCCCCUCAGGCAACACCGUGACUGCUAAUUAGGAGCACUUUCCUUCACCUAUGGAAUGCUGUUUGCUGAGUUGUUGGUUUUUCCCCUUCUUCUUUGUAUUUGCCUUAUUGCUUGUUUAGGUGAGCACAUGCUGGAAGUCAAGUCUUCUUGCUAACUGUCACUCACAGGUAAGGGUGAUGUAUAUUCCCAGGAAGGUCCUGGGAAGCAGGGAAAGUGAGCUGAAGAAGUUCUGUUGACAACGCCGAGAUAAGAGGCAGCGUCGGAGAAACGAAUGGGUCUGCGGACUUCGAUGAACCAGUUAUUAUUCGGGCCCAAAUGCCAAAGGCUGUUUAGCUCAGGGAUCUCAAACUGCUCCUCCAGAUACUCCUGCAUUCCACACUUGGUCAUUUUCUCCUCGCUGAGAAUGCUGGGAGUUGCAAUCCAGGGACAUCUGAAUGGACGUAGUUGGAGACCUCUGGUUGAGUCCAUGGAAGAUGUCUUCUCUACUGGCAGCAAGCAGCUACAGUUUACGACAUGCCCACCACAGAAGGACACUUGUGUCCAUGCUAAACUGUUACAAGCUGAACACAGCCUGAACUUUUUUGGCAAGGCAUCACCAAGGCCAAAAUAUGGCUUUAGGCAUGCCAAGUUUGAUGAGAAAGCAGCUGACAACCCCGAGGGCCACUGCACAGGUGUAUGAAGUAUCAACAGCUGGAAGCAGCAAGCUGAAUUAAUGAUGGCAUACUGAAUGAGGCCAGUGGCUGGAAGCCUAAAUUUACCAGGUUUAACAGGUCUGGCUGUUUCAGAUGAUGGAAAAGCAAGUUGGAAGACGGCUUGUUGAAGAAUCAUGUUGUCCCAUCCCACAGACACAGACCAUAUCAAUAUUUCAUGCAGUCACUCACAGGUCUGGUUCCAUCCUAUAUUACAGACCUUUGACAUAAUUUUCAAUGCGUUUUUCCUAUAAAACAUGCAUUGUAUAAAGUGUUUUAAGCAGUUUCACACACUUGAAAGAUAUAUACUUGAUUCUAACAUUCUAAUAUAUGAUGUCCAUCUUCAGAGGAUCUGACUUAUGGAAGAGUCAAAAACAACUAAAGUCAGAUUCUCUGAAGACAGACACCGUAGCUAUGUCCGAAAGCUUAGGUUCUCAGAAGAACUAUGCAACACGGCACAACAGCCCCAAAACUACUACAAAUGAGACUGAAACUGGCCAUAAAAGCCUACAUUCUACCAACAUUAGUAUGGAAUGUUAUGUGACUCUAACCAGGGUGACCCUUUUUCUUUUCAUUCCUUGAAAGCUGCUACACCAUCCUUUGUUAGCUCUGAAGAGCAAUAUAUAUAAAAAAUUAAAAUCAAU